UACGGAGGGGGCAAGCGUUAUUCGGAAUUAUUGGGCGUAAAGGGCGCGUAGGCGGCUAGAUGUGUCAAAGGUGAAAUCCCUCGGCUCAACCGGGGAACUGCGUCCGAUACUGGUGGGCUCGAAUCCGGGAGAGGGAUGUGGAAUUCCAGGUGUAGCGGUGAAAUGCGUAGAUAUCUGGAGGAACACCGGUGGCGAAGGCGGCAUCCUGGACCGGUAUUGACGCUGAUGCGCGAAAGCCAGGGGAGCAAACGGG
rnacentral:rRNA from 1 species